rnacentral:rRNA from 1 species
GGUCAAGCAAGAAAGAGCACAGGGUGAAUGCCUUGGCACUGGGAGCCGAAGAAGGACGUGAUAAGCUGCGAAAAGCUUCGGGGAGGCGCACAUAGCCAUUGAUCCGGAGA